CGGGGUUUCUAACCAUAGAGGCUGCACUCGCGGGUUUGGGCGUGGCAGAGACAGACGCCGCCGCUGCCGCCGCCGCCGUCGCCGUCUCCACGACGACCUAAACGGCAGCCCCCGCGGGAUCCCAAGCAACGAAGUGGGGCUCGUGGGUUUCGUCCCCUUCGGCCGAGACAGACGAGUGAACGCGCCGCCUCGUCGACGCGGCGCCACCGCUGCCGCCCUCACCGCCUCUUCACUUCUCCGGCGGCUCCCGGGAGGUUUGGGCGGGGCAGAGACAGACGACGCCACCGCCGUUGCCGCCUCCACGACGACCUCAACGGCAGCCCCCCGGGCCCCCGCGGGAUCCUAAGCAACGAAGUGGGUCUCGUGGGUUUCGUCCCCUUCGGCCGAGACAGACGAGUGAACGCGCCGCCUCGUCGACGCGGGGCCGCCGCUGCCGCCCUCGCCGCCUCUUCACUUGUCCGGCGGCUCCCGGGAGGCAGAGAAGGAUACAUCGGAGAAGGUUUUUGAAAUUGCUAAGAAGCAGCUUGGACUUCACUGAAGUUUGCGGCAACAUUAAGUUCUCUCACCUUGGAGCCGAAUCACUAUACAUGGUUUUCUAGAGAUCUGUAGAUUUUUUUCGUCCAAGAAGCAGUGGCCCAUUCUCUUGCUGGCAAGCUGGCCUUUUCUUGACAUGGCUACCUUAUGCAGUAGAUAAAGGACUCCACCACAAAUCUGGCAUCAGAUUUGUCACCAUGGCAAAUGGAACAUUUUUUAUGGCAAUUUAUGUUUGCUGAGGAUGGCAAGUUUAGUUGGACAAUGUGUCGCAUACCCACUGUGGCGAAUGGAGCACCAGGAUGCAUGUGUUUCGAUGAAUAUCGCACUGGCCAAGUACGGUGUGUUAAUGGAUGUAGAGAAUUGGAUGACUACUUGAAAUAUCGGGCUUUUGUGGCCCUGCCUCCUUGUCAAAAUCCGAGGACUGGUACUAUACUUCUUCCUGGUGAACUUAACAACAAAAAGCUAGUCUCUACUGAAGCUGGUAAGAAGUUUGUCCGGUCCAUAUUUCAAGGCGUCUGGUGUGUUGUGGAUGAUGGAAAAUACUUCAGAGGCACCAUUACUGAAGCCAACAUCUAUGUCAGUAGGGAUGGCAGUGCCAAGUUUCACAAUUUGGAGAUCACAGAUGAAGGUAAUCAUGCUCAGCGAGUUGCUAGGCAAAGAAGAAAUUACACUGAAGUUUGCACUAUUGCGAAAACCAAGUUUGCUCAAGCAGCUGCUUCUCUUGGGUACACAGAUCCCAAUGACAUUCCAUCAGACAUACGUCUUCUGUUCCAUAGGGUUAUGAACGACAAGGCCCUCUACAACAUAGGGUUAUACCACAUCCAUAUUUCUCUGGUCCCUAUAGGAGUUGGUAUGCUGGCAUUCUUUAAAAUUCAUGAUCAUCUACUGACCACUAUUCCUAAGGCCACGAGAGAUACAAUUUUGGAUAACCUGUAUGCAGAGUGCCAAGAGAUUUUUGGAAAGGAUCAAAAUCAUGUCCUAAACUGGGUGAAUGAAGCUCGGAUGAAUACUCUGCUGAAUGACAUCUACUGCCACAUUUUUGCUAAUUAUGUUGCUGAUGAGGGCAACAUCUGUAAGAAGCAAGACAUUAGACCACAUGAUCUCAAACUGAAGCGAGGGACCAUUGAGUACAAGAUACUGGUUAAGAGAACUGAAGUUGCACUGUUUUUGGAUUUCUUGAGAAAUCGAACAGCACACCGUACGCAAAGCUGGAUACUGGUGCAGAACGAGUACACCCCAGAAGACGCAGAUCUUGUUUGUCUGCUGAAAUUCUGUGAUUUUUUGGUUAAGGUGCAGUGGCUGUUGUGGCGAUUCAACAUGCUAGACAGGGUCAACUUCUCGGCUAUAUUUGUCUGACAUUGUCCCCAAUUCUGCACUUCCUCUGAGUUCCGUCUGACAGUCCUUCACUGAUCGGCAAUAUCAAAGUGAGAGAUCAGGCUGUACUUGUCCCCAAUUCUGCACUUCCUCUGAGUUCCUGUCUGACAGUCCUUCACUGAUCGGCAAUAUCAAAGUGAGAGAUCAGGCUGUAUCUUCUAUCAGAGAAGGGACUGAUACAGUGGCCUUUCUGAAUUUCCGGAGGAAGCUUACCGCUCAUCACAUGAACUGUUCUGACACCUGGUGAAAGUCUUAUUGUAGUCUCAUUAGCUAUGUCUAAAACCUAGUUUUACCGUAGUCUCAAUAGUAAUGGUUCAGUUCCAGAAAAAUGUUAUGGCUUGCUUGAAAGCGCAGUCUCAUUUGAUGUAUCUGAAUUUCUACCUUAAGAGUCAGACAGUUUUUGAAACCUCUAAUUCUCACGAAUUGUGAAAUUGUAAGACCUGUUCGUGUGUAAUAGUUACGUAUGCUCAGAUUAUUGGUAGUA